rnacentral:lncRNA from 1 species
CACUGCCCUAAUUCCAGUAGCCUGGAUACAAUAUAAGGGACGCAGAGAGGUUUGCCUUGUCCCUUGUUGCUUUGUUACCUUUUGACUGCCAUGAACUGUUUUUCCUCUGUGAUGCCCUCUGCUAUGCCACCCUACCUUGGAGCCAGGUGAUUAUGGACUGAAACCUCUACAAACUUGAAACAGAAAACUAAUACCCACAAGAGACUGAUCCGAAUCCUCAGUUCUCCCUGGUUAGUAUGGCCGGGCAGACUCUUUUCCUCCGUUUGCCAUUCCCUUCCUGAAGCCUAGCACACACCAUGGGCAACAGAAGGGGCAUUUGGCAAUGUGACCAAACACAGAGGGAUGGACAAGCCCUUUUCAGGGUGUUAACACAGGAGGGAGGGCAGUCUUUUCCACGUGAAGGUGUGAUUGUGUUUACCCCACUGACAGGAUCUGAUGCACCUCUGGUUUUGUUCCAAGUGGAAGAGAGCUGAAUGGCUCACGGCCUGUGCCAGAGGUGAGAAAGUAGAGAUGGGAUCCUGGGGAAAGGGUGCAAGUAUCUGUCAUGGAGGGGGAAAAAGAGACAGGAAAAGUCCCAAGGAAAAGAUGUUUUUAUUUGUUGGCAGAAAGAGAGUGUUUUACUUGUUAUUUGAAGAGUGGCCAGGGCUGGGGAUUUAGCUCAGUGGUUCUGAUGUCUGAUGUCUGCCUCGCAAGUGGAAGGACCUGAGUUUGAUCCCCAGUACCAAAAAAAAGAAGAGUGGCCACAUAGGCAACUCAGUGUGCCAGGAUGGAAUUUCUUUUGCCAUUAAGGGAUUAGAGUUGCUGAUACAGAAAAAGGAGAGGAUCAUUUUCCAAACUCUUACUUCCUGUAACUCUGAGUUAGGAGUUCUGACGCUGACUUGAAGCAAUGGACUAUUGUG